AUUUCACAAGUUCAAAAUUUCAACUGCGCAUCAAAUCAAACGAACGUUUCAUAUAGUAAAUAAGUUUUUGUCUUUCAUUUCGAGUUUGGAGCUCGAGGCGAACGGUCACAGUUGAACUCAGAGUAUAAAAGUGUUUGAAGGCAUCCAGUGUAUAAUUUUAUUACAAGUGUCCAUCCGGGUCCAGUUUUCAGUGGAGGUGCUCUUCCUCGUAGUCAGAGAAUGUCAGCUGCCUCCUGGGGUCUCUCGCCGCGUACAAGCCAGACGCCAUUGUUCGAUCAACAAUACUGAACCGAACCGCUCACAACAUAUAUCCCAUUCAUUUCAUCCACCCACUUUAUGCUACCCCCGUGCCCACCCCCGACGGAUAAGGGGGGAAACAAGGGGUCAACGAGGAUGAAGAAAACGUCAUGUCCGUUCGUUCUGCGGAAGAAGCCGUCACCCUCUUCGGUAGACUCGAAAGGUACCUGAAACCUUGCGGUGCAUUGCACUGGCUUCUUCAACAACUGAAAACGUGUCUGGUGUCCUUUGGCUUUGUUCGAAGGAAGGAGCCGAAAUCUGUGCACCACGUGCCUCGAAGAUCCUCCGGUCAAUGAAGCGGAAAAACCGAGGGCAGGAUCCUGACAUUUUUCAGAAUGUCCCAUCAGAAUGACCAAUCCUUGAAGUCCAUCAGUUGCUUUCCGAUGGGAAAAGCAACGAUUGCUGUUAGACCAUAAAAUCAACGGAUCGUUAAGAUCGAUUGUCCGGAUGUUUACGACUUCAGGAACAAACGGUGAGCCAUUGGAACCCCAUGGACGACAAUGGACACUGGUCACUCGGCAACGGACGAUCCUAUUGUCUUUCGACCGGCAGCACAAAGAAGAUGGUUCAAGUAUCCAGGCGAAUUGGCUGAUAAAUUAGGUUAAUCGAGAAUCGUGUUUUUUUUUUUUUCUCCUCCCUAAAAUGAUUUUUAUCGGUCGGACAAUACGCGGUCACGCAACAUGGCCCCGUUAAUAAAGUGGAAAGAAGCAACUCUGUUCACGAGCAGCUUGGCACGUGCCAAACAGUGUCAGCUGGUAAUGAUCGGCGAACGGUACCCAUACGAUGCCCGACAGCUUUUUAUCUCGAAACAAUAUCUCCUGGUAUUUCGAAAACGUUCGUACCGGCUACCAGAGGUGAAAGGGAUUCCGUGUAUAUCGAGGUAAACCGAGAGGGAAAAGUGGAAGGGAAGAAGAAAAUUGUAAACGUAAAAUAAUUUAGAAAAUAAGUUUUUUAUUAAGUUCAAACUUGAUACA